UCUUUAUGCUGUCCUGAGCUCCUGGG
rnacentral:piRNA from 1 species